rnacentral:rRNA from 1 species
AUUGAACGCUGGCGGCAGGCCUAACACAUGCAAGUCGAGCGGAUGAAGGGAGCUUGCUCCUGGAUUCAGCGGCGGACGGGUGAGUAAUGCCUAGGAAUCUGCCUGGUAGUGGGGGAUAACGUCCGGAAACGGGCGCUAAUACCGCAUACGUCCUGAGGGAGAAAGUGGGGGAUCUUCGGACCUCACGCUAUCAGAUGAGCCUAGGUCGGAUUAGCUAGUUGGUGGGGUAAAGGCCUACCACGGCGACGAUCCGUAACUGGUCUGAGAGGAUGAUCAGUCACACUGGAACUGAGACACGGUCCAGACUCCUACGGGAGGCAGUAGUGGGGAAUAUUGGACAAUGGGCGAAAGCCUGAUCCAGCCAUGCCGCGUGUGUGAAGAAGGUCUUCGGAUUGUAAAGCACUUUAAGUUGGGAGGAAGGGCAGUAAGUUAAUACCUUGCUGUUUUGACGUUACCAACAGAAUAAGCACCGGCUAACUUCGUG